rnacentral:rRNA from 1 species
GAGUUUGAUCUUGGCUCAGAUUGAACGCUGGCGGCGUGCCUUACACAUGCAAGUCGAACGGCAGCAUGAUCUAGCUUGCUAGAUUGAUGGCGAGUGGCGAACGGGUGAGUAAUACAUCGGAACGUGCCCUGUAGUGGGGGAUAACUAGUCGAAAGAUUAGCUAAUACCGCAUACGACCUGAGGGUGAAAGUGGGGGACCGCAAGGCCUCAUGCUAUAGGAGCGGCCGAUGUCUGAUUAGCUAGUUGGUGGGGUAAAGGCCCACCAAGGCGACGAUCAGUAGCUGGUCUGAGAGGACGAUCAGCCACACUGGGACUGAGACACGGCCCAGACUCCUACGGGAGGCAGCAGUGGGGAAUUUUGGACAAUGGGCGAAAGCCUGAUCCAGCAAUGCCGCGUGUGUG